UACGGAGGGUGCAAGCGUUAAUCGGAAUUACUGGGCGUAAAGCGCGCGUAGGCGGCUCGGUCAGUCGGGUGUGAAAUCCCUGGGCUCAACCUGGGAACUGCAGUCGAUACUGCCGAGCUAGAGUGUGGGAGAGGGUAGUGGAAUUCCCGGUGUAGCGGUGAAAUGCGCAGAUAUCGGGAGGAACAUCAGUGGCGAAGGCGACUGCCUGGCCCGACACUGACGCUGAGACGCGAAAGCGUGGGUAGCAAACAGG
rnacentral:rRNA from 1 species